GAUGAACGCUGGCGGCGUGCUUAACACAUGCAAGUCGAGCGAGUGAGUUCUUCGGAACGAUCUAGCGGCGGACGGGUGAGUAACACGUGGGCAACCUGCCUCAUAGAGGGGGAUAGCCUCCUGAAAGGGAGAUUAAUACCGCAUAAAAUUAUCGAGUGGCAUCACAUGAUAAUCAAAGGAGUAAUCCGCUAUGAGAUGGGCCCGCGGCGCAUUAGCUAGUUGGUGAGGUAACGGCUCACCAAGGCGACGAUGCGUAGCCGACCUGAGAGGGUGGUCGGCCACAUUGGGACUGGGACCCGGCCCAGGCUCCUACGGGAGGGAGCAGUGGUGAAUAUUGCACAAUGGGGGAAACCCUGAUGCAGCAACGCCGCGUGAGUGAUGAAGGUCUUCGGAUUGUAAAGCUCUGUCUUUGGGGACGAUAAUGACGGUACCCAAGGAGGAAGCCACGGCUAACUACGUGCCAGCAGCCGCCGUAA
rnacentral:rRNA from 1 species